rnacentral:rRNA from 1 species
CCUACGGGAGGCAGCAGUGGGGAAUAUUGGACAAUGGGCGAAAGCCUGAUCCAGCAAUUCCGCGUGUGUGAAGAAGGCCUUCGGGUUGUAAAGCACUUUAGGUUGGGAAGAAAAAGCUUCGGUGAAUAUCCGGAGUGUUGACGGUACCAACAGAAUAAGCACCGGCUAACUCUGUGCCAGCAGCCGCGGUAAUACAGAGGGUGCAAGCGUUAAUCGGAUUUACUGGGCGUAAAGCGUGCGCAGGUGGUUUCGUAAGUCGGAUGUGAAGGCCCCGGGCUCAACCUGGGAACUGCGUUCGAUACUGCGAGACUAGAGUUUGGUAGAGGGUGGCGGAAUUCCCGGUGUAGCGGUGAAAUGCGUAGAUAUCGGGAGGAACAUCAAUGGCGAAGGCAGCCACCUGGGCCUGAACUGACACUGAGGCACGAAAGCGUGGGUAGCAAACAGGAUUAGAUACCCUGGUAGUCCACGCCGUAAACGAUGAGAACUUGACGUUGGUUCGUUUUACGAAUCGGUGUCGUAGCUAACGCGAUAAGUUCUCCGCCUGGGGNGACGCGACAGUAGAACACAANAGAUGAGCGNGAGAGNGCGAGCGACGACGAGGGAGGAGG